CAGCCUGCCAGUCUGGGGAGACGCGCCCACUAACCAGACCUCCAUGUUUGUGGCCCUCUCCCCAUAGCAUGGCCUCCGUCACUGGUGUACUCAAUGUUCGUUGCCAAAGUGUGUUCAUAUUGGGUUAUUUUUUGGCUCCACACCAAUAAUGACUAUAUAUUUGUAAAUACAUGUACAGUGUAUCCAUAGUAUAAGAAGCCUGUCCUAGGAACUGCUGUACCGAGUUCAUACUUUGCUGUUGCCUGAUAUUAUGAUGUUUGUUGCAUCUUGUGUAACAUUGGACUGGUCAGACAGUCUGUUUGAGGAAUGUUUUAAUCCUCAGUCUGUCUUGAGGAAUGUUUUAAUCCUCAGUCUGUCUUGAGGAAUGUUUUAAUCCUCAGUCUGUUUUGAGGAAUGGUAUUUAAUUCUCGGUUUGACUGUGUCCUUGACUUAAAGUGGAAGAAAAGCAUGUGAUAUUAAAUAACCAAUGCCUCAUAUAUUGUGUCAUGUUUCUAUGUAUAAAUAUAAUAUUUAAUUUUUACAUUCAUUUUCAUUUUAUUUAUUAAUUUUAAUUAAAAAAAAUAUUCAUACAUUCAGAUGCUUGUCUGUGUAAAUAUUCCUUCAUGUUUCCAGAAUUUAACAUAUACAUGUAUAUAUCUACUUAAAGUUGCUUGUUACCUCCAUUCUUUCAAACUUUUGGAGUUUGGGGUCCAAUGAUGCAUUUACCUAAAUUAUGUUGCAUAUAUGUUCUAGUUCAAAUUACGUUUUUUGUUUUUUUGUGACAUACAUAUAUGAUUUAUGCAAAUAAAAUUACAAUUUUU
rnacentral:misc_RNA from 1 species